GUCGUAACAAGGUUUCCGUAGGUGAACCUGCGGAAGGAUCAUUAAAGAAUCGCCCCGUUUUUUGAAAUGGGUUCUAUUCCCAAACCGUGUAUACAUACCUUUGUUGCUUUGGCGGGCCGCCUUCGGGCGUUGGCUUCCAGCUGACUGCGCCCGCCAGAGGACCCAAACUCGUUUGUUUAGUGAUGUCUGAGUACUAUAUAGUAGUUAAAACUUUCAACAACGGAUCUCUUGGUUCCGGCAUCGAUGAAGAACGCAGCGAAAUGCGAUAAGUAAUGUGAAUUGCAGAAUUCAGUGAAUCAUCGAAUCUUUGAACGCACAUUGCGCCCCUUGGUAUUCCGAGGGGCAUGCCUGUUCGAGCGUCAUUAUAACCAUUCAAGCCUUGGCUUGGUAUUGGGGUUUCGCGGUUCUGCGGCCCUUAAAAUCAGUGGCGGUGCCGUCUGGCUCUAAGCGUAGUAAUUCUCUCGCUAUAGGGUCCCGGCGGUGGCUUGCCAAAACCCCUCUAUUUUCUUACGGUUGACCUCGGAUCAGGUAGGGAUACCCGCUGAACUUAAGCAUAUCAAUAAGCGGAGGAAAAGAAACCAACAGGGAUUGCCUCAGUAACGGCGAGUGAAGCGGCAACAGCUCAAAUUUGAAAUCUGGCUCUUUCAGGGUCCGAGUUGUAAUUUGUAGAAGAUGCUUUGGGUGUAGCUCCGGUCUAAGUUCCUUGGAACAGGACGUCAUAGAGGGUGAGAAUCCCGUACGUGACUGGGUGCUUUCGCUCGUGUAAAGCUCUUUCGACGAGUCGAGUUGUUUGGGAAUGCAGCUCAAAAUGGGUGGUAAAUUUCAUCUAAAGCUAAAUAUUGGCCAGAGACCGAUAGCGCACAAGUAGAGUGAUCGAAAGAUGAAAAGCACUUUGGAAAGAGAGUUAAACAGUACGUGAAAUUGUUGAAAGGGAAGCGCUUGCAACCAGACUUGCGCGCUGUUGAUCAUCCGAGGUUUUCCCCGGUGCACUCGGCAGCGUUCAGGCCAGCAUCGGUUUUGGUGGGCGGAUAAAGGCCUUGGGAAUGUAGUUUCUUUCGGGGAGUGUUAUAGCCCUCGGUGCAAUGCGCCCUACCGGGACCGAGGACCGCGCUUCGGCUAGGAUGCUGGCGUAAUGGUUGUAAGCGACC
rnacentral:rRNA from 1 species